rnacentral:lncRNA from 1 species
GACCUACUUUGCAAGUGAAUGAACACAAAGCUUUAUUAUGGCUAAGCAAUGCUAGCUAAUAAAACAAACAUGAAAAAUAAAAAAGAGCAAUAUGUCUCGUAUUAUCUGUUAGAAUUAAUGACGAGGGAGUGUUUUGAUCUAAGGCAAGGGCUAAACUAGCCUUGCUUGGCAACGUUGUCCAUUCAAUAUUGACAAGAUAGUUUUUUUUGUGAGACAUGAACAAGAGUAUCUAACUAACAAUAACACUCUGCAUGAGUGAUGAGCUAUAUCAAAAGUAAAGAAUGUAACAAAAAAUGCUAGCUAAUGCACCAAGCAUUAAAAAGGAAAAAAAGAGCAAAUGUCCUUAAUUCUCUAUUGGAAUAAAUGCUAAGGGAGAGUUUGGAUCUAAGGCCCUGUUUGUUUCAUAAGUCCUAGGACUUUUUUAAGUCCCAACUUAUAAGUCAUAAGUCCAUACCUGUUUGUUUACAGGGACUUAUAAGUUCCGAGUCCCUACCUGUUUGUUUACAGGGACUUAUAAGUCCAUGUUGCACCUAAUAAUACACUUGUUCACAUGGAUCGUCAUCACCCAACGCGUACGACACACAGGAUAAGCACCGCUGCAACAAGGCUCAGGAGAGGGCCUGUCCGGCGAUUGGAGGCACCGCUGCAACGAACCGAGGCAGAACGAACCGAGGCGGGGCGGCGACGGGGCGGCGAACCGAGGCAGAACGAACCGAGGCGGGGCGGCGACGGGGCGAGAGGCGGGGCGGCGACGGGGCGAGAGGCGGGGCGUCGGCGGCGAUUGGACCGAGAGGCAGGGCGGCGUGCGGGGAAUGAGCCUGGAGCGACGCGGGGUAGGUUCGGCCCGGGAUAAGUCCCAAUAAGCUCCUCCCUGAGAGUCUUAUUUGAUAAGUCCUAAAUCACCACAAUAAGUCCCAAUAAGUCCCUUGUGUUUAGUUUAGGUGGGACUUAUAGAGACUUUUUUAAGUCCCUAAACCAAUAAAUCCCUAGAAACAAACACCCUCUAAGGCAAGA